GCAUAUGUAGCAUAAAACAUAUUCUAAUUAUGUCAUAUAUACAUUCAUAAGCAUAUUUCCAUAAAGCCUUAUGGGGUACACCAUCACAGUAUUAAAACCAGAUGAGCUUUCAUUGGCUACAUUAAUUACCUGUGUGGUUAGAUCAACCAAUGACCUUAAAAGAGAGAGCAAGCCACAUGCUUUAGGCCUUGUGUGAUUUGCUGGGGUAGGAAUAGUUGCCUCUCUGCGCUAAAGUAGGCCCAGUAUGUUUAGAGGAGGUUUCACCUGCUAUGAAGCACCAGCUGUGAACAGGCAUACAGGACUAGGGGGAGCUCUGGUCUUGUCCAGGCUGGCAGCUCCUUUAAACAGGAAUGGGAAGAGAUGCUUUUCAGCUCCUGACUCCUGUGGCGAUUCAUAGGUUCUAAGGCCAGAAGGGACCACUGUCAUCAUCUAGUCUGACCUGCUGUAUAGCAUAGGCCAGAGAACUUCCCUGAUAUAAUUCCUAGAGCUGAUCUUAUGGAAUAACUUCCAAUCUUGAGUUAAACUUUGCCAGUGAUGGAGAAUCCACCACAACCCUUGGUAAAUUGUAUCAGCGGUUAAUUACCCUCCCUGUGAACAAUUUACACCUUAUUUCCAGUCUGAAUUUGUCUGGCUUCAACUUCCAGCCAUUGGAUCAUGUUUUGCCUCUGUCUGCUAGACAGACGAGCCCAUCAUUAAACCCCACGUAGAUACCUACUGACCAUAAUCAAGUCACCCCAAACCUUCUCUGGGUUAAGCUAAGUAGAUCGAGCUCCUGGAGUCUCUCACUAGAAGGCAGGGUUUCUAAUCCUUUCAUCAUUCUUGCAGCUCUGUUCUGAACCCUCUCCAGUUUAAAUUUGAAGCGGUAUUUGUAGAACAAGGGAAGUAGCUGUAUAGGAGGAUACAACGGGAGUUCCAAUAUGAGCGUCCAGUCACCUUACUUCCACCUUUUAUAGGACACAGAUCUAUAACAGCAUCUCCGCCAACUGAAAAAGCAGGAGGGGAAAUUCGGAAACAGUCCCUAACUGCUGAGAAUAAUAUAGAUUUAGGCACAGUUCCAACUGGCAUGAACCUUACUAUGAAUAAUGACUCAGAGCCAUCCUCUGUAGCAUUGUCCAAAGGUUAUGUAUACGUAAGUCAGGAAUUCACAAAUCCCAAAUUAUUAAUACUAGAACUGGGGAACUCUGAAAACCAAAUAUACCCCAAGAAAAGGUCUUUCAAACCAAAGUACCCCAAAAACGUAUAACUCGAGGAGCUUGGUUUAUAAUGGGUCCAGAUUUAAAGUGUUUGUAAACUUAUUCCCUGAAGACUGGAUAAUUAACACUCAUUAUCCUAACUGUUCUAAAUGAAUUGCACAAUAUAAAACAUAUUGCGUCUGGGAUGUGACAAAAAGAGAAAUGGUUAAAAAAAAAAUACCAUACGGAAAUCACUAAACGCUGCAAUAAAAUUGAAAAACACGUGGAGCCUCUCUACCCAAAGGGGAAAAAUAAAAAAAGACUUUAAAGCAACUGAUGCAGUCAGCACACACUGGGGAACAAGGGAAAAUAAUAAAUCAAGAGAUGGGCUAUUCUGUGAUGAAGUUAAGUAACUUGUUGGAAAAAAGUAGUCUGAAUAUUGUUAAAGAAAUGAGGGAUAUUCGCUCAGAAUUUUCCUGGGGGAAAGUGUGUAGAAAAGCCCAGGAAAUCUUGGGAGAACAAUGAAAAGAAAUCUUGAGACAGAGCCAAAAAGGAACAUGGCCCCAGACUCUGAACUGGGCAUUAUGUUACUAUUCUUAUAUUAAUCAAGCAUUCCAAGAUCCCUGAAAGGUGCAAGUGCAUCCAUGUACCAUACACCAGGGCGCUCUUGUCCUUUCCGGGAUAGCCAAUGGAAAGGCACAGGAAGUGUAUCCGGUAAUAGAUGCCAGCGCCUGCGGAAAUAAAACCUGGCACUAUGAAAUAGUACCUGAAGAAAAUGAAUUAUGGUAAAUACCUGAAUUAGGAUGGAUACAAAUAAUAAAAGCCCAAUAAAAAAGGGGCACCUUGGUUAAAAAAGGAAAUUGAAAUUUAAAAUGAAAAGGAGGUAAACCCCCCAUAAAUGUACAGUGAAAAAAUGGUUGAUGGUGAUUAUAUAAAAUAAACCAAAAUAUUUGUUGGCAUCAAAAGGAAAAGAGUAAUGUAACAAUAAACAACCAAACUUGGUUCAUGGGCCAGGGGAUGUGGUGUACUCAUGGAAAUAUAACUUAUUUCCUGUAUGAACAACAUCAGUGGCACCCUCAGAUGACUAAAACCUUUAUGACUCACUCUAGAUUAAUGUCGCCAAAUUUAAGGGCAAUAGAGUGGAAUGAUACAGGUUGGAAUAUGAAGAUACAGACUAAUCAAGGCACACUAGACCAAAUAAAAAAGUCAACUAAACUAAUCAUAUCUGUCAAAGUUAUGCUUGCUCGAAAGUAUAAAAUUGUUAAAAAAGCCGUAGAAAAAAUAAGAUCUCAAAUGUGUGCUUGGUACAAUGUUGUAUGUCAAAUUACAACAUGGAAUGCGGCUGAAUGGGCAAUGUUGUUUUGGAUUUCUGGAACUGCUGUAUUAUUACCUGUAUGUUUCUGUUGUGGAUAUCAGCUGUGUAAGCAAUAUAAAAAAAACCAAGCUUUGUAAAAAACUUAUAAAAUUGAGUUGUUGAAUUAUGUUACUAAUAAUCGUAAAAUACUGCUUGAGGUUUUAUAGAAACCAGAAAAGGAGACACACGCUCUAAUAGUUAGCGUACAAAUUGUGGGUAAGAUUGAGGAGAUAUUACAAUGAUCUUUGGUAACUGAAUAUCGAAUGGGGGUCUUGUGGGAUGGUUCCAAAUGGGUGUGGCUGUGCUGAAGGAAUGGUGUGAGCAUCACUUGACAUGGCUUAAACAUGGCCGAAGGGCUGUAGAGAAUCCUGAGAGCAGGUUGCCUUUAAGCAGAAGCAAUUUGAUAAAGAACUGGCAAAGUCUGCGUGUACGAUCAAUAUUGAACCUAUUGGUCGGCAAAUAUGGGCCCAUGCAAAAGUAAAUAUCACAUGUAUAAAGUUCCAGCAUGGAGCACAGGUCGACCUGGUUGUAGUGAGACACCAUGCAAAGAGCCAGAGUGAAUGAUUGAUGAGUGAGUAAAGGUGGGCUGAUCUUGGUUGAGUAUCACCACCACUCCCAGACCCUUCUAAAACACUAAUUAGGUGAAAUUAGUAACCACAGUUCCACUGGGCAUGCUUUUAAGAAAUGUGACUCCUUUGAGGAAAAAAAGGAUAAAAAUCAAGCAAAGUAAAUUACUGUGGUUGGGAUUCCUUAAUUGACGCUUGAAGAAGCAAUGCUGCUAGACAGAGUAGCCAAAACUCUGCUCCGUGGGCCCGAGUAGGACUGUGAACCAGAGGGGUCUCAAGGCGCAAAGCCUUGCCUCAAUGGAAUCCAAGGCAGACCAGAGAGCUGAGAAGAACAGACCAGGAGGAAAGAAGCCGUCUAUAAUAGUGUAAUCUGCUCCACCGGAAGCCAGUAAAGAUCCAUUUCAGGGGUAGUUGCGCCCCCUGUUGUCAACAAUCAACAUCCACCUUGAACUGUGGACACCAGAACUGGACACAGGAUUCCAGCAGUGGUCACGCCAGUGCCAAAUGGAGAGACAUUGUGUUAUAUAGCUCCUGGCCGUAAGCCCCAGCCACUUCCAUCUGAGACUCUCCAGAAGAUUGCAGCUUUUAGCAGCCUUUGAUCCAGGCAUUGGUGAGCACUGCACCUGAUUAUUACAACUCAGAAUACUUUGCAAUGAAGCUCCACACCCUGAAAAAGCAAAAUGCAGCAGCAGUUCUGCUUAGCAACCCAGGAGGUGGCCUACAUCAUCCUCUGAAGUAUCUGGCACUGAUCCUCGUCAAGGUUAAGUGGACCCUUUCUGAUGUGCUACAGUGAUUCCUGUACUCUUUGCUUUGAUACAUGCUGCUCUCUUCCCCCAAAGGGCUCUGGGAAGGAUGCUGUUGCUUCAGCUGCAAAGGGACUUUCCAGUGUGCAGCCCUACCAACCACAAACAUUCACAAAGGAUGAGUCAGGGCUGCAUACCUCAUUGGUUGAAAGCUCCCGACAUUUUUUUUUUCCUCCAAAGAAUAGAUGUGAGACUUUUCUGGCUUCUGAGCCUUUUGGGGUCUGAUUUUCUAGCACUUCCCUGCAAUCACAAGAGGGAAAAAGGUUAUUUUUCAAAGAAAAGAGCAAGCAAGCAAGCUGAGAUUCUCACUUAAUCACCUGACUUCAGGAGCUCGGGCUUUAAGAAAAACACCAGAGAGUAUACAACUCUUGAUGACAACACCAGAGCUGGCAAUACUGAUAGCAUGGGGCUCUGGGACUGUAUGAGGCCCUAGAGACUGCAACUCCAGGGAAUCAUAUCAGGCCAGACAGAGAGAUUCUUGCAGCUUGUCUUUUGCUGACACUUCUGUGAUAACAAUCUCCGCGGCUUGCGGGUGGCUGCUGUGGUUCUAAGAACAGAGCUCGGCCACCUUCCUCCAACGCGCUCCACUGGCUUUACACUGACUUAUUUGCAUAGAGGGGAAAAUACAAGUGGUUUUGAAUGGAAGCUGUUCAAGAGACGCAAUGGUUACUUGAGACUGAUCCCCUCAAAUAUGAGGGUUGCCUGAAAUGGAGCCCGGGUCUGGCUCUGGCUUUUUGCAGAAUCAAAGCUGAGCAGAUGUGAACAAAGCCAAGCUCUCACCCAGCUCCUCUGCAACCAUGCUGCCAGUGUCAAGAGAGAAGCUGAGGACUCAAUGGGCCUGUGGGAUCCUGAACUGUCCACUCUGGGUCAGGGUGGAGGGAUGCUGAAGAAAUUUCCAGCCCAAUUCCUCAGAGCCUAAAGCUUUGGAUGAACUCUGGGAGCAGCCUUUGAAUUCUCCAGGGGCUUCUCCAAAGAGAUGGGACAUGCUGCAAGACUGGUGGACAGCCCCUUGUUCUGUGGUAUCAACAGGAUGGGAUGUAAUGGGGUCACCCCUAGGCUGUUUCAAAGUGCUCUCCCCAAGUCAGGUUCUGGGCCUCUUUAUCUGGGCACUAAAGUGGGCCCCUGCCUACUGGCUGGAUUUGCAUUUCACUCUCCAGGGGUUAAUCUGAUGCCUCCAGGGCUGAAAUAAAUACCGUGUGUGGUAUUUCAGCUCCUGGGCGGCAGCCAUGUUAUACUCCCAAACCAGGGGUGGUGGUAAAACUGGGGUUUUAUUAAAGUUAAUAUCCAACCUCCCUCCCCCAGUAAACACAGCUUCAAUAACCCCCACAAAUCAACUCAGUCUGACCACAACACACCACCCAGUCUACUGGGUCCCCUUCCCCGCUAUGAUCCCUUUGACUUUUCCUGCAGAACUCCAGCCUCUGAGAGCAGAAGGUGCAGAUAAAUAUCACCCAGAGAGUAAAUAUAACCCUGACGUUUUCUUAAGAGUGCUACGCUCCCCACUCAUAAAUGUAAUGUCCUCCCAGCAUUUCUGUUAAAAUAUAAAACAUUCAGUCUAUCCAUUUGACUUAUUAACAGUCGGCCCCAAGUUCCAGCUCUUAAGCAGUUGUCCUCAGCUGAGUUGCCAGUUCCAGUACUGAGGAUGGAAACUUCUGCAUCUCUCCAUAGUAAUUUCUAUGACAAGUGUAGAUCCACUGACCAACAGAAUAGCCAGUACCAAACAGUUUAAAUUCCCUAAAGAUACUCAUCUCUUACAAAAUAACAGCUCCUAUGUGAUCCCUGGCAUAACCAUGUCUCUCCAAGUCACUGGGCAUAUGGCAAGCUGUUUAGAAGAAAAAAUCUACUAAAUUAACAUCAUAAACUAUUCAGAACUAUAAAGCGUGUUAUUACAGCAACAUCCAUUCUUUAAAUCAAUAUCACUUCAUUUGCCGAUAUUCCAUCAGUCUUGGAUAGAAUGCAGAAAAAGGUGCAGGAAUAGGUAUUUCGCACGGCCUAUGACAAACAUGAGGAUAACCCCAGGGUUCAUUCACCAGUCCAGGAUUUGGAUUUAGACACAGAUAAGUACAUGUCUCUAAAUGUUCAUAUGUCAGUGUCUUCGCUCCUUAGU